rnacentral:rRNA from 1 species
CCUACGGGAGGCAGCAGUGGGGAAUAUUGCACAAUGAGGGAAACCCUGAUGCAGCGACGCCGCGUGAGUGAAGAAGUAAUUCGUUAUGUAAAGCUCUAUCAGCAGGGAAGAAAAUGACGGUACCUGAGUAAGCAGCCCCGGCUAACUACGUGCCAGCCGCCGCGGUCAUACGUAGGGGGCAAGCGUUAUCCGGAUUUACUGGGUGUAAAGGGAGCGUAGACGGCAGUGCAAGUCUGGAGUGAAAGGCGGGGGCUCAACCCCCGGACUGCUCUGGAAACUGUACGGCUGGAGUGCAGGAGAGGUAAGUGGAAUUCCUAGUGUAGCGGUGAAAUGCGUAGAUAUUAGGAGGAACACCAGUGGCGAAGGCGGCUUACUGGACUGUAACUGACGUUGAGGCUCGAAAGCGUGGGGAGCAAACAGGAUUAGAUACCCCGAGUAGUC